UUUUUCUCCUUUUUCCCCCUCGAGGCGCGGCCCUCCAUCGCGGCCUCCUUCUCACUCCGGCGCUCCUCCUCUCUGGUCCUUAUCUUCUCCUUCUCACUCCCUCCGUCUUGGCCUGCUUCCUCUCCCAGCUCACUCUGGCGCCCUUCCUCUCUCCCUUCCACUCUCCCUCCCUCUCUCACUUCGCCCGCCCCCUCUGCCUUCCCUCCCCUCCCCCCUCCGCUUGCCCCUCACCGACGGUGAGGAGCAGCGGCGGGGCGAGGUGAGGCGGCGGCGCAGAUAGGCAGCAGCGGCGGGAUGGCUCGAGCCCCCCUCUCUCUGUCUCCAGGAUGCAGCGACAGGAGGGCGGGG
rnacentral:lncRNA from 1 species